GUCCUACGGGAGGCAGCAGUGGGGGAUAUUGCACAAUGGGGGAAACCCUGAUGCAGCGACGCCGCGUGAGUGAAGAAGUAUUUCGGUAUGUAAAGCUCUAUCAGCAGGGAAGAAGAUGACAGUACCUGAGUAAGAAGCCCCGGCUAACUACGUGCCAGCAGCCGCGGUAAUACGUAGGGGGCAAGCGUUAUCCGGAUUUACUGGGUGUAAAGGGAGCGUAGACGGUUAUGUAAGUCUGGAGUGAAAGCCCGUGGCCCAACCCCGUGACUGCUUUGG
rnacentral:rRNA from 1 species